rnacentral:rRNA from 1 species
AGCGAACGCUGGCGGCGUGCCUAACACAUGCAAGUCGAACGUGAAAGGGAGCAAUCCCAAGUAAAGUGGCGUACGGGUGAGUAACACGUAGGUAAUCUACCCCAGAAUCUGGAAUAACCGGCCGAAAGGCUGGCUAAUACUGGAUAGAGCGACGGAAUCCGUAAUUGGGUUUUUCGGGAAAGGGAGCCUGUAAAAAGGCCUUCGUUCUGGGAUGAGCCUGCGUCCCAUCAGCUAGUUGGUGAGGUAAAAGCUUACCAAGGCAAUGACGGGUAGCUGGUCUGAGAGGACGAUCAGCCACACUGGAACUGAAACACGGUCCAGACUCCUACGGGAGGCAGCAGUGGGGAAUCUUGCGCAAUGGACGAAAGUCUGACGCAGCAACGCCGCGGGAGUGAAGAAGGCCUUCGGGUUGUAAAGCUCUGUCGAGUGGGACGAAAAUGCUUGGAGUUCACAGCUCCAGGAACUGACGGUACCACUAAAGGAAGCACCGGCUAACUCCGUG